CCCUUAGAUGUUCUGGGCCGCACGCGCGCUACACUGACGAAGUCAGCGAGCAUCUCCUUCGCCGACAGGUGCGGGGAAUCUUGUCAAACUUCGUCGUGAUGGGGAUUGAUUAUUGAAAUUCUUGAUCAUCAACGAGGAAUUCCUAGUAAGCGCAAGUCAGCAGCUUGCGUUGAUUACGUCCCUGCCCUUUGUACACACCGCCCGUCGCUACUACCGAUUGAAUGGUUUAGUGAGAUCUUCGGAUUGGCGCCACUGCGGCUCAGCAAUGGGCUCGGUGGAUGCCGAAAAGUUGAUCAAACUUGAUCAUUUAGAGGAAGUAAAAGUCGUAACA
rnacentral:rRNA from 1 species